rnacentral:rRNA from 1 species
AGUGAACGCUGGCGGCGUGCUUAACACAUGCAAGUCGAACGAGAACGGAUUAUAGCUUGCUAUAAUUGUCAGCUAAGUGGCGCACGGGUGAGUAAUAUAUAGGUAAUGUGCCCUAGAGAAGAGGAUAACAGUUGGAAACGACUGCUAAGACUCUAUAUGCCUUUAAGACAGAAGUCUGCAAGGGAAAUAUUUAUAGCUCUAGGAUCAGCCUGUACAGUAUCAGUUAGUUGGUGAGGUAAUGGCUCACCAAGACAAUGACACUUAACUGGUUUGAGAGGAUGAUCAGUCACACUGGAACUGGAAGACACGGUCCAGACGUCCUACGGG